rnacentral:rRNA from 1 species
UACGAAGGGGGCUAGCGUUGUUCGGAAUUACUGGGCGUAAAGGGCGCGCAGGCGGCUCUUCAAGUCAGAUGUGAAAGCCCCGGGCUCAACCUGGGAACUGCAUUUGAGAUUGGAGAGCUUGAGUUCGGGAGAGGAGAGCGGAAUUCCCAGUGUAGAGGUGAAAUUCGUAGAUAUUGGGAAGAACACCGGUGGCGAAGGCGGCUCUCUGGACCGAUACUGACGCUGAGGCGCGAAAGCGUGGGGAGCAAACAGG